rnacentral:lncRNA from 1 species
UUAAAUUUCAGAGACCUGAUUGACACUGUAGGUUCUAUAAGCUUAAAUUUUAGAGACCUGAUUGACACUGUAGGUUCUAUAAGCUUAAAUUUCAGAGACCUAAUUCAAUUCAGAAAAGGAGUGGGAGCUUAUUUUAGAGGCAAGUGAGUGAGUGGACAUGUUAUUAGGCUUAAUUACCAGGAUUUGGAAGAGAACGCUGGUGGAGAAGAUGCACGCAAGGCCACCAAGCCAGCUGUAACAGCAGCAGGAGCAGCAGUUAAUUGGAGGAAACAAACCAAAUGGGAUAGCUGAUGAACACGGCAAACAGUCGAACAAUGGAAGUACUUACAUUGUCAAGGCAGAAAUCGAUCAAGAGUAAAUUGACAGCAGCAGCAGC